rnacentral:rRNA from 1 species
ACGAAAGGACAAGAGAAAUAAGGCCUACUUMAAGAMAGCGCCUUAACCUUUAAUAGAUGACAUAAUCUUAAUCUAUAAUUUAUAUUAAUGCAUCUGCCCUAGACUAGGGCUC